rnacentral:rRNA from 1 species
GAUGAACGCUGGCGGCGUGCCUAAUACAUGCAAGUCGAGCGAACGGACGAGAAGCUUGCUUCUCUGAUGUUAGCGGCGGACGGGUGAGUAACACGUGGAUAACCUACCUAUAAGACUGGGAUAACUUCGGGAAACCGGAGCUAAUACCGGAUAAUAUUUUGAACCGCAUGGUUCAAAAGUGAAAGACGGUCUUGCUGUCACUUAUAGAUGGAUCCGCGCUGCAUUAGCUAGUUGGUAAGGUAACGGCUUACCAAGGCAACGAUGCAUAGCCGACCUGAGAGGGUGAUCGGCCACACUGGAACUGAGACACGGUCCAGACUCCUACGGGAGGCAGCAGUAGGGAAUCUUCCGCAAUGGGCGAAAGCCUGACGGAGCAACGCCGCGUGAGUGAUGAAGGUCUUCGGAUCGUAAAACUCUGUUAUUAGGGAAGAACAUAUGUGUAAGUAACUGUGCACAUCUUGACGGUACCUAAUCAGAAAGCCACGGCUAACUACGUGCCAGCAGCCGCGGUAAUACGUAGGUGGCAAGCGUUAUCCGGAAUUAUUGGGCGUAAAGCGCGCGUAGGCGGUUUUUUAAGUCUGAUGUGAAAGCCCCACGGCUCAACCGUGGAGGGUCAUUGGAAACUGGAAAACUUGAGUGCAGAAGGGGAAAGUGGAAUUCCAUGUGUAGCGGUGAAAUGCGCAGAGAUAUGGAGGAACACCAGUGGCGAAGGCGACUUUCUGGUCUGUAACUGACGCUGAUGUGCGAAAGCGUGGGGAUCAAACAGGAUUAGAUACCCUGGUAGUCCACGCCGUAAACGAUGAGUGCUAAGUGUUAGGGGGUUUCCGCCCCUUAGUGCUGCAGCUAACGCAUUAAGCACUCCGCCUGGGGAGUACGACCGCAAGGUUGAAACUCAAAGGAAUUGACGGGGACCCGCACAAGCGGUGGAGCAUGUGGUUUAAUUCGAAGCAACGCGAAGAACCUUACCAAAUCUUGACAUCCUUUGACAACUCUAGAGAUAGAGCUUUCCCCUUCGGGGGACAAAGUGACAGGUGGCGCAUGGUUGUCGUCAGCUCGUGUCGUGAGAUGUUGGGUUAAGUCCCGCAACGAGCGCAACCCUUAAGCUUAGUUGCCAUCAUUAAGUUGGGCACUCUAAGUUGACUGCCGGUGACAAACCGGAGGAAGGUGGGGAUGACGUCAAAUCAUCAUGCCCCUUAUGAUUUGGGCUACACACGUGCUACAAUGGACAAUACAAAGGGCAGCGAAACCGUGAGGUCAAGCAAAUCCCAUAAAGUUGUUCUCAGUUCGGAUUGUAGUCUGCAACUCGACUACAUGAAGCUGGAAUCGCUAGUAAUCGUAGAUCAGCAUGCUACGGUGAAUACGUUCCCGGGUCU